AGAAAAAAAAAAUUUUGGGGGUUCCCCAUACUUAGAACUGAAACUCAAAAAUAUUUUUUUUUCAUCAAACAACUCCGAUGUCCGACUCGCACUUGGCCGCUUUUUUUUUUGCUGCGUCCUGUACGUGCUCGGUCUGCAGCAUGCGAGGUGCCGUACUAGUUGGUUAUGCCACAAAAUUUGUUGGUGCUUUAAUAAAAUAUGCAUUUUAGAAUGCAUAUUAUUAUCAAGUUAUAAGAAACUUCGUUAGUUUAAUAUCUUUAUUAAGUUUUAUUAAUGAAAUUGUAAAUAUUAUUUUAAAUACGUACCUAUGUCUUUGCAUGUACAAUUUAAUUUUAAUUAAGAAGUAAAUUAUGGUUAAUAAUUAUUAUUGUUUUAUAUUAUUUGUUUAUACCUCAUCCUUGCAGGAUCGGAACUGUGUCAAAUGGCCUAUUUUAUUAAAUUAAAUUUUUUGACAAUAAUGUCCAGGGCCCCAAGUCUACUAUUGCAAUUGUGUUUCAGUUGUCUAUCAAUGACAUCUUAAUUGUUACUUUUAGCAAUUUUGGUAGUCUACUAAUUCAAUGGCGUCACAAUUGCUUUCCGAUGGCGUGCCACUGACACUUCAAUGACGCAAUUGUAAAUAGUUGGUAGUCCCGUACUUAAUGACAAGCCAAUGAUCGAAUGUAUGCGUAGUCUGCUAAUAGUUUGACAGCUGCAAUGACCAUUGAAUCGCCAGUGAACUAUCAUUGAUGCGCCAUUGUGCUGUCAUUGCUUUUAAGCCAGUGUUUGUUUGGUUUUACGGGUUUAACAUCAUGUUUAGCAAUAGUUUGGGUAUUUAGUUGUUAUCUUUCUACGUUGUAAGGUGAACACCUAGGCAUAAUGUCUAGAAUAAGAUGGAAUAUUUUGGAAUUGGCCAACGCGGUUGAUACUCAGGAGUUGAUAUUGAUACUCGCUUGCUAAGGAGCAAUAUAGACCCCUUUCAGGAUAUAUCCUUUGUAAAAAUGUUUCGCCUUGGGAAGGAAACUGUAAAGGAGCUAGUGGAGCAGCUCACUCCACUUAUUCCGAGACCACAACGGAAUGAUGGAAUAUUUGCGGAGACGAAGGUUAGAAAACAACUUCAAAUUAUCAUUGCUUAUCUCUAAAGGCAUGGCUAUAAUCUAAGAAUACAUGAAGUUGGUAGGUAUGAAUGUAAUGUAUUACUGUUGCAGAUUCUGAUAGCCUUAGUAUUUUAUACACCAUCUCAUACCAGACAUUAGUUGGGCAGAGUGCCCUCCACAGAAGACUGUGUCAAGAGCUGUGAGGCAAGUUACAGAGACACUCAAUGCCAAAUUUAACAAAUAUGUUAAAUGGCCCAUCCAGCAUGACCGGAAUGCCAUGAAAGCUAAAUGUUUGCUCCGAGCACAUGCUUUGCAUUACAGUCAAUCACCACAGGCAAGAUUGUGAAUGCAUGUUAUAUUUUGCACAGUAUUGCAAACAAGACCAACGCACGUGCCUCCACUCAUGCCUGUGGAAGCUCUUCAUCUGCAACAGGAUGAACACAAUUCAAGGGCCGAGAGUUGGAAAGUGCUAUUGAUGGACAGCAUUCACAAAGCCAUCGAGUUAACCACGGUCUGCUUGAAGGUAGAGUGCUGCAGCAGACUCUCAUCAACAGGCUGUGGAGAAAUGCAUGAAAUUAAUAAUAAAUAAUUGAAAUAAAUGAUUUUGAAUUUU